GUGUCAGCCGCCGCGGUAAUACGGAGGGUGCAAGCAUUAUCCGGAUUUAUUGGGUUUAAAGGGUCCGCAGGCGGACCGGUAAGUCAGUGGUGAAAGCCUUCAGCUUAACUGGAGAACUGCCAUUGAUACUGUCGGUCUUGAGUUCGGUUGAAGUGGGCGGAAUAUGUGGUGUAGCGGUGAAAUGCAUAGAUAUCACAUAGAACACCGAUUGCGAAGGCAGCUCACUAAACCGAUACUGACGCUCAGGGACGAAAGCGUGGGGAGCGAACAGGAUUAGAUACCCUGGUAGUCCACGCUGUAAACGAUGAUAACUCGCUGUUGGCGAUAUACAGUCAGCGGCCAAGCGAAAGCGUUAAGUUAUCCACCUGGGGAGUACGAUCGCAAGGUUGAAACUCAAAUGAAUUGGCGGGG
rnacentral:rRNA from 1 species